GUCGACUUCCGCCCGGCCCUGAAGCUAGCGUGCACAGCAGCUUCCUUGGUCGUCGGAUCCGAUAGCGCGCGUCUCCCAGACCUGAAGAUUCUCGGAGCUGAGCAUGGUGGAACUCUAGAGGGUUUAUAUAGGCGACUGAAUAGAGUGGGAAACCGCCACCUUUCGCAAGCCCUGAGCCUGGAGGACUCUAAAGCCUGAGGCGACCUGUAGACAAUCCUGCGUUUGCCGGAAGCAGGCUGGGAGGAAGGACGCUCACAGCCUCUGACUGUGGAUUCUGAGAUAACGAGCUGCUAGCAUAAUAUGACUCACACUCCCAAUGGACGUUGAGAGCUGUGGUCCCGACUUAGAUCCUCCUCAGUGCCCCGUCCCCAGCCCUGAUCUUACUUGAACCGUGAGAGGCCCCAUCAUUACUUACAUGGAGUGCCGAAUCUGGAUUUCAACCACUUUUUUAAAAUAAAGAUGAAUUUAUUUUAUGAAUAUGAGUAUACUGUCACUGUCUUCAGGCAAACCAGAAGAGGACAUCGGUUCCCAUUACAGAAUUACAGGUUUGGGAUGACAUCCUUCACAACCACCGGGCCUAGUUUUCAUUGAGAUGCCGAACCAAAGGCAUUUUGCACAUUUUCUACAGCCUGGUCCACAGCUAAUUCCAGGACAGCUGAAUGUACGUACACAGUUCCAAUGCUGUACCCCCGAGCCGCAUCUGCCUGACUUUAUGGACUAAGGUCAGCACCAUACUCAGUCUGUCCUGAUUUUGAGGGCUCUGACUCUUCUCAGUGGCCCACCCACUGCUCACCCCCCAUGUGGAGAAGUUAUAUAAACUCCUACAGCUAACAGGAGGGCUGAAUAUUGAUGUUCAUGUAGUGCCUUCAUGUGUGCAAAAUUGUAUAUACCUUUCUCUUGUUAAUGUGCCUACUGUCCAUCUAUUUAAUAGACUUGUUAGAUAAAAAUUACAGCAGGUUGUCUAUGUAGUGAAAACUUUUGCACUUGGCCAACACAGUGAGCUAAAAGCCAAAAUGAAGUCAAAAGUCAAACGGAAACAAGUUGUUUGUGCUGGCUAGUUUAGAUCAACUUGAUACAAACUAAUCUUCAGAAAGGAGGGAGCCUCAGUUGAGAAAAGGAUCUUGCUGUAGACAAUCCUGUAAGGCAUUUUCCUAAUUAGUAUGGAUGUGGGAGGGUUCAGCCCAUUGUGAAUAUGGCUGCCCCUCAGCUGUUCCUCCUGGGUUCCAUUAAGAAAGGCCCUGGAGCAAGGCAGGAAGCAGCACUCCUCUAUGUCCUCUGCAUCAGCUCCUGCCUCCAGGAACCUGAACUGCCUAGAUACUGUUGUCGAAGUGUAAACAAGCCAAAUACCCUAGUCCCCAAGUUGUUUUGUGGCUUUCAUUACAGCAAUAGUAACCCUAACUAAAAACUGCUCUUCCUAGAAAAGAUUCCAACUGGCUGGCCAGUUUCAAUUGACAUGAUAAUAAAGUUACUCUACCUUAAUCCUUAUUUAGACAGAAACCUCACAUUAACCUACUGGUUGCCUUUCUAAGGCUAGGUCUCUCGGGCCCAUUAUGCUAGAAAAGUAACUUUGAAAAGCCCAGUGGCUUCUUUGUUUAUGCCUUCUUUCCUUGAUCAUCUCAAUAAACUACCAAAAUCAGGAAGACUUGCCUGAUUCUAGAAUUGAAAAUAAAGUCAGUUAAGACUGAACUUGGGCUGGGUGGUGGUUGUAGAGCAGGCCUUUAAUCCCAGCACUUGGAAGAUAGAGGUGGGGAUCUUUGAGUUCAAAGGCCAGCCUGGUGCACAGAUAGUUCCAGGACAGCUGAAUGUAUGUACACAGAGAACUCUGCUUCGGAGGUGGGGUGGAAAUGGGCUUGCGGGUGAUAGCACAAACCAAUAAUCCCAGCAUUCUAAAGGAUGAUAUGGGAUUACCAAGAGUUCACAGUGAUCUGAAACUAUUUGAAUUAGUCUUAAUAAUAAUAAUAAUAAUAAUAAUAAUAAUAAUAAUACUGUUAAAACAUGCUGCAUUUGAGAGACUGGGUGAUUAAGAAACUGAAACAGAAGGAUUACCAAAACCCAAAGUCAACCUGGACUACAAAGUUGAGACCCUGUCUCAAAAAUAAAAGAACUGAAAGAGCUUGAAGGGGCUUAAGACCCCAUAUGAACAACAAUGCCAACCAACCAGAGCUUCCAGGGACUAAGCCACUACCCAAAGACUAUAUAUACAUGGACUGACCCUGGGCUCCAACUGUAUAGGUAGCAAUGAAUAGCCUAGUAAGGGCACCAGAGGAAGGGGAAGCCCUUGGUCCUGCCAAGGCUGGACCCCAGUGAACAGGAUUCUUGUGGGGAGGGAAGUAAUAGGAG
ensembl:lncRNA